GGCACGGUGGCUUAGCGGUUAACAAGUUUGCCUAGUAUCUUCAGGGUUAGGGGUUCGAUUCCCGCCUCUGCCC